GUGUUAAUGACACGUAAGAAUAAAAUGUCUCAUGACAAAACUUCCCUAUAGGGGGGGGGGAAUCAGAACCUCAAAACUAUUUUUUAGAGUACUUGGAGAAUCAAGUUCUACCCAUGCUAAGAAAUACACAAACACCCAGUUAUAACUUGGGCAGUUACCAUCACAGCAAGUUCCCCACCAGGUCAAAUGGAUAUGUUCUGCCUUGAAUAAAAGCCAAAUCCAGAAGAAAGCUAUAUACAUAAUGUGACCCUAGAAAAUCCAAGAAUUCACCCAACUCUUCAAGCAUUUCUCAAAUUCAGUUCAACUGCACAAGUGACAUAUGGCAGUUGUCACAUGUUCGCUUGGCCCAUCAUAAGGAGUUGCACAAGCUGCACCUCUGCCUAAGCUUUACAGAAACAGAUAUUAAAAGUCAUCCAAGAAAGUUACCCACUUUCUCUCAUGCAAUUCCCAGGCAAGAGAAAUUUAUACUUAUCAGCAUUUUCUAAUAGAUAUGAUGGAAGAUGAACAGCUGAGUAGGAAUGAGGAAUUGGUCCCAUUUUUCCAAUGAUUUCCUUGAAUGUGUACUCCUCUGGAAACAUAUCAAAUAAAUCAGCACCCUCACAGAUUUUUCUCUGGAUUCUCUCAGGGUUCAAAAACCGCAACCGCUUGAAUCUGACUCUAUCAUAAUGGCUGUAAGCUCUCAUCUUGAAUAUAAACUCACUUAUAUGGCGAAAGCAAAAGCUGCAAUGCCAUCCUGCAUCUGCCAAAAUGUCAUCUGCCUGGCGAUAAUGAGCAUACCGCGUCUUGCCUGUCUGAUACCUGUGGAUUGAAGCUCUCCAGCUAUUAUUAUCCACGAGAAACUCAAAAGAAUAGAGAUAAUUCUUCAGUCGAAGGUGAAGAAUUGAAGGUAUGUCAUCACACCAUCUCAGGAGAUUUAUAGUAUGUCUGCUUGGUAUUUCAUCUACAUCUGACAUUAUCAACAAGUCAUCAUCAGAAAUCCCUGCUACUUUAAUAAGCUGAUCCAGUGCUACUCGCUGAUAUGCCUCCUCAACAAAUGGGUUCUCUCUUUUCCUAAAUCUCCCUCCAACAGUACCAUAAGUCAAUCUGGACUCAACAAAUUUGAAGUCGUCUCGAUGGUUGGCAAAAUAUAGAAGCUUUUCACUGCCAGUAAAUGUUGAAUUAGAUUCAAGAAGAAUGAACUGCGUGACAUAAGGGUACAAUUCUUUCCACCUUAACGUGAGGAUAUCCAGCUCAUUACUAAACAACACUGCAUCAUAAACACGUCUAGGAAAUUCACGAAUCUUCCAACCAUGGAGCUUGCAGAGAUUCUCCAUUGACACAUUCUCAUGAUAAUAAUGAGGGAUUUCAUUGAAGCUUCUUGGCGGUUUUUCCCAUAGUGGCCUCAGGAAGUAUGAGAUCUUCUGUCCAUGCACAUAAAUACCAAAGACACAUGUUGGCACGAGGAUGAAUAGAAAUAAAAUGGUCUUUAAAUCAAUGCUAUGGAGGAUACAGCGGAUUCUGGACAUGCUCAAAACUCGGCCAGAGUCCUGGCCACAAACAUCACCGCAGAUGUCAUCAGUCUUCUUGGAGCAGUAAUGUCCACCAUUUUCCCCCAUCAUCCCCCACAUUUUGCUUCUGUUUUUUUUUUUUUCCUUU
rnacentral:misc_RNA from 1 species